rnacentral:rRNA from 1 species
CUUGGUCAUUUAGAGGAAGUAAAAGUCGUAACAAGGUCUCCGUUGGUGAACCAGCGGAGGGAUCAUUACGAGAGUGUCACCACUCCCAACCCAUUGUUUACCUACCCGUCCACCGUGCUUCGGCAGGCAGUCCUGUGGGACAGGGCCUCGCCCCCGCGAGGGGGUGCCUGCCGCUGGCCAACCAAAAAUUCUAGCUGUUUUUGUACCAUCUGAGCCUUCCACAAAUAAACAAAACUUUCAACAACGGAUCUCUUGGUUCUGGCAUCGAUGAAGAACGCAGCGAAAUGCGAUAAGUAAUGUGAAUUGCAGAAUUCAGUGAAUCAUCGAAUCUUUGAACGCACAUUGCGCCCACUAGUAUUCUGGUGGGCAUGCCUGUUCGAGCGUCAUUUCAACCCUCAAGCCUGGCUUGGUGUUGGGGCUCUGCGUCUGCAGUCCCUUAAAUCCAGUGGCGGACACGCUAGGUCUCCGAGCGCAGUAGUUUCUCCUCGCUCAGGGCGUCCGGCGUGGGCUUGCCUCGCACCCAUCUCUUACAAGGUUGACCUCGGAUCAGGUAGGAAUACCCGCUGAACUUAAGCAUAUCAAUAAGCGGAGGA